CGCUGGCGGCGUGCCUAACACAUGCAAGUCGAGCGGAGAUGAUGUGAGGAGUUUCGGAUGGAAUCACAGUUAUUUAGGCGGCGGACGGGUGAGUAACGCGUGAGCGACCAACCUUGCACAGGGGGAUAACGGACCGAAAGGUUCACUAAUACCGCAUGAGACCACGGUGUUGCAUGACACAGAGGGUCAAAGGAGAGAUCCGGUGCAAGACGGGCUCGCGUCCGAUUAGGUAGUUGGAGGGUAACGGCCCACCAAGCCUAUGAUCGGUAGCCGACCUGAGAGGGUGAUCGGCCACAUUGGAACUGAGAUACGGUCCAAACUCCUACGGGAGGCAGCAGUGGGGAAUAUUGGGCAAUGGGGGAAAAACCCCCUGACCCAGCAACGCCGCGUGAAGGAAGAAGGUUUUCGGAUUGUAAACUUCUGUCCUUGGUGAAGAGAAGAAGACGGUAGCCAAGGAGGAAGCCCCGGCUAACUACGUGCCAGCCGCUGC
rnacentral:rRNA from 1 species